UGGAUCAGCAAGAACUGUCCAGUGAC
rnacentral:piRNA from 1 species